UACGUAGGGGGCAAGCGUUGUUCGGAAUUACUGGGUGUAAAGGGUUCGUAGGCGGUGCGGCAAGUCGGGCGUGAAAUCUCUGGGCUUAACCCAGAGGCUGCGUCCGAAACUGCUGUGCUUGAGUGUGGGAGAGGCGCGUGGAAUUGCAGGUGUAGCGGUGAAAUGCGUAGAUAUCUGCAGGAACACCCGUGGCGAAAGCGGCGCGCUGGACCACUACUGACGCUGAGGAACGAAAGCUAGGGGAGCAAACAGG
rnacentral:rRNA from 1 species